GUAAGCCGCUUUGAGUCGCCAUAUGUGAAUAGGCAGCAAUAUAAAUUCAAUAAACAACAACAACAUACAGCCUUGAUCUGAGCACCCUCUGAAUGUUAUAGUGGAUUCUGGUUUCCCUGGGAUUGAGGUUUUUUCCCCCGUAUAUUCGUCAAAUGUUUGUAUGAACGGUAAAAACAAUGCACGCUUCAUUGUCUUUAACACCUAACAAAUUAAAAUACAGAAACUUCCAACUUUGAGAAUUAGUUUGCAAUUGAGCCAGUGUGUGUCAGGAUGUUCUAGUGAGAUUGGGGCUGCAAAUGAAUUCACAAAAUGGCAACACUGAUUGCAUUAACAUAUGGUACUGUAAUAUUACUCAAUCGUAAAUUGCAACAGACAGUCUUUAAUACAAAUAUUGGCACCAGUCAAAAUUGACGGCUGGCAUAAAAUGCCAUGUUAUGAGAUAAGACUCUUACAUUCUGUUUCUGUCUUAUGUUUUGUUUAAUCUAUUGCUUCUUUAUCUUACAAAUGAUUAGAGGCAUUCAUCAGGUAUUUUUUCCUUAUUAGCUAAACUGUUUCUAAUUUUUCUAAGAUUUCUUGGGUUUUUCUUUCCUUGGAAAACAUGGCAUGGAGAUGUAGUGGCUUAUGACGAUUCUCGUUUACUUUUAACGUUUGCUGUGAUUUUACCGAUUUAAGUGUUCGAUUUCUGUUGUUAACAGCUGCGGGUUGUUUUUACCAGAAGUGAACAAGUAAUGCAUUUAUGAAAGAAGAAAGGAAGAUCUUAACUGUUUUCUGUGGGAGGGAGAAAAGCACAUAAUCCUAAUAGCUCCUUCGCCUUGACAUUCCUGACAUUGGCAUCCAACCCUGUUCCACGCCAAGAACUGGGCUAUCAGGGCAGGUCAUAGAACACAAAGGAUGCCUCCCACACCACCACCACCCUUCUACGGUGACCGCAAGGGACCACCAGCCCCGCAACCAGCAGCGAUGACCAGCAUGCUUCCAAUUUUUUUCUAGCCUGGGGAAUGCUAAGCAAUUUCCCCCCCCCCCCCCCCUGCGAGGUUCCUGCAUUUUUGCAAGCUGCACGAUAGAUAAUGAUCGAGCAGCAGAAAGAGUUUCCCAACAGGGAGUUAGUGCAGGAGAAACACAGCAGCUGCGACUCUAUCACCUGUGUCACUGUUUUCCAAAACACAAGUGCUUGGCUGGAGUGAAUAACUGGCACUUGUGUGUGUUUGUGUGUGCGCGCACCACUGCCUUCGACGAUCUCGUUUGCUUCUGAGCGUGGCUCUUUUGAAGGGCCUUUGAUUAUUUUAAUGGUUCUAUCUGUAUGGAAUUUUUGUAUAUAAGAUGUAAUUUAAAGUAUAGUAGCGUUGUGUCAAUCCUCUCUCCUGUCAUUCAAGCCGAAUGUAAUUAUUAUGCAUUGUAUUGUGUCGGAACACUCUUGAAAAUCAAGCAAUAAAUCUAAUUACUAAUAUACACAGUGACGUAGCCAUAUGUAUAUGGUGGACGCAUUUCUUUUUUCCGUCA